AUUUGUACAUUUUGUAACGGUAUAUUAUGAUAUUUUAUAUAGGAAAUACUGGUGGAAGGAGGAGUAACCAGGGAAAGUCCGAAAUUUAAGGGGAAGGUUCGAUAUAGGCUCGUGUAGCUUGUUUAAGGAAGAGACAGCGAAAAUUCACUUAAAAAUGCUAGGGCAUUGAUUUGAAUUCCUACUCAUUUUAUUCAGUUUCAUUAAUAGUUACAUUUUACUUAAAUUAUUGUUGUUGUUUUGUUUAUUUAAUUUUAAUUUAUCGUUAAAAAAACCUCUUCUAAACCACAUCUCUUAAAACAUGCAUUCUCUCUGCCUGGGAGCGGCCUAUCCGUAUAUCUUUAAUAUCUAUGGUUUUUUUUUUUUUUUAUACUGCCUAUGUAAAUAAACUGACGGUCUAUCGUUGUAAUAUAGACGCGCACGUCCGUGUAAAUAUUGCUGUACUGACAAAAAAAUAUAUAUAUCUGUAUAUUACCAACUUUCAAAAACGGUUUCACCGAAAUAUAUACGUUAUUUUACCCGAUUUAUUUACACAUUAUUGGGCGGAUCGAACGCCAAUAUUAUACAAGUAGUAUAGGUAAUCAAACCGUGAAAAACCGCAAC